UGACGGGUUCUUUGAAUACGGGUGGGGGAAAAAAAGAAAAGCAGCAUCCACCACGGCACCACCAUCUUUGUUAGAGAAGCUGCACAAAUCUUCGCUUCUUCUCUAUUCCGGUGCUCACACAGAUCACACGCAAGUCUUUAGAUUCAGGAUCUAUGGACGCCAACCGUAACAACACCACCAAAGGAAAGAAAGCUAACAGUAGCAGCAGCACUGAUCCCAGUAUGGAGAGUGAGAGUAAAUAUCUGCCUGAGCUGCUGGCGGAGAAAGACAGCCUGGAUGCGUCGUUCACUCACGCCAUGAAACUGCUCACUGCAGAGAUAGAAAGAAUUCAGAAAGGCGAGCCAAAAAAAGAUGGAGAAACGUAUCUGGACCUGUUCACCACCAAAAACGUGCGGGUGAAAGAACGGGUGCUUAUUCCUGUAAAACAGUAUCCUCGGUUCAACUUUGUGGGAAAGAUUCUUGGACCCCAGGGAAGCACCAUUAAAAGACUGCAAGAGGACACCGGAGCCAAGAUUUCAGUCUUGGGCAAAGGCUCCAUGAGAGACAAGAACAAGGAAGAAGAGCUGAGGAAGGGAGGGGAGCCCAAAUACGCUCACCUGUCCAUGGAGCUGCACGUGUACAUUGAAGUGUUUGCGCCAAUCCCUGAAUGUUACAUGCGCAUGGCUCACGCUAUGGACGAGGUCAAGAAGUUCCUCAUGCCUGUGGACAACAUGGACGAGAUGCAUCAGGAUCCCUUCAUGGAUGUCGGGUAUCUAAACGGCGCUCAAGACGCGCCCACUCGUGGCCGUGGAGGCCCUGGUCGGGGCCGCGGUGGCCCACCACUUCCCAUGCUCGGAGCCAGGGGUCGUGGCAUGCUCCAGCGUGGCGGUGCUCCUCGUGGCGGUGCCCCCAGAGGAGGCCCAGGAAGAGGUGGAGCAGCCAGAGGAGCGCCUGUCGGCCGGGGUGGACAUCCUUCUGCCUCGUCUAACCGCGGGGGGGCAGCAGGACGGUCCCGACCCCCCACUGCGUCACAGAGGAUGGCACCUGCAUCCGCACUCUCUCACCAGCAGCAUCAAGCCCCAGAGUCGUACGAGGAAUACUCGUAUGACGAGAGCUACACUGAAACUCCAUACGAAGGUUAUGAGAACUAUUACAACCAGUCUGCCCCACAGGGAGAAACCGAAUAUUAUGACUAUGGUCAUGGGGAGGCUAAUGAAAACUAUGAAUCAUACGCUGAGGAUGAUUGGGAAGGUGCUGCGUGGGGGAGUGGAGGAAAAGCUCCUCCUGCUCGCCAGAAUAAAGGAAACUACCGUGAACAUCCGUACGGAAGAUUCUGAGAGGUGUCGCACACUCGGGUUGCCUGGGCAACCGCCUCCAAUUGUAACUCCUUUUAACAGCUCAAAAUGCUGACUGAUGGCGACUAAAAGCAGACUCUGGACUUUACACUGACCACCUCAGCGCAUGACCCCUAAAAGUAGGAUCGGGUUCGAUUGGGACGUCUUCUGGAAUUGUUUGCUUUUCCACAGGUUAAAUAUUAAACCCCAGCAAGAUGGAUGAAUUUUUUUGUCAAAUGUUAUAUUAUUUGUUGGUUUUUUUUUAAUUAUUAUUUAUUUUAUACAUUUUUUUAAAGAUUUCUACAGAUACACAGUAUUUUUGUAUGAAUUUUGUAUGUUAAAUAAUCAAUAAAUGACUUUAUUACAAAGUUAAAGGCAAAAA